AACACCUAAACAGGCAAAGCGCCAGUCUUGAAAACAAAUUGGUUAAAACGGGUGUUAAUUAUAAACUGAAAGUCUUCGUGGCUUGGCAAAAGGGCAAAAUGACUAAAUUUUCUCUUUUGUUAGCUUGAUACUUAACAAGAAAAGCAUACAAAAGAAUUUUACUUUUUUUCAAAUAGAUUUUGGAGAGCUUUCGAUUAGCUUCCGAUUUUCUGGCUGACUGCCGAGUUGCUAGGUUACAGGUUAACCAUUGUGUAAUAGGUAAUUGCACAACAUGGUCGAAUCACCUUUGGCCGAAGAAGAGAAAGAGUGUUGUUUUUACCUAAAAACAUGAUUUGCCCUGCCAAAGCGUUUGUUUUUUAGUUGUUACAGAGUAAAAUUUUCACCCUUCGGGUUUGCAAGAGUAUAAUUUUUACCGGACAUCUCAGUAGUAUGUCUAAAAAACUGUUUUCAAAAACUGUUGACAUUUUAAAUCAACAUAUCUUGUCGUGAGUCAAACACUUUGCGCCAGAUGAACUCACCUGUACGUGAAUUUUUAUUCGAUUAAAAAAAAUCUUUCACAUGGGAACCCUCGCGCUCUGAAUCCUCACUUAUGUCAUUGCCUGUAAGCCAUAUACGCUCCUCGGCGCAUGUAUUCUCUAAACUGAACCUGUCUUGCAUGUGUUGUUUUGUUGCUCAACUAUCAACAGCACCCGUCUUUCUCUGAAGCGGUACGCGCGCUCCAACACUAUGACGUCAUGCUUUGGCGAGUCUCUGUUGAAGAUCAAAGAUGGCGAUUUUGGAGCCAACAUGACUGACUUAUACAAUCAUGAAUGCUAUGAAGGAUUCUUAGAAGACGAGAGACGUUGAAGGAGGCACUGUCCAGCCAUGCACCUGAGAUGUGUGUGUGUUUUAUUAUUAGUGGGUGUCAACGUCACAUGGGCUGGACUGACACAGGAUUUUAAUCAAGUAUUCUAUCUCGGUUUUGAUCGAUACAAUGGAGAUCGUGUUUAUGAUGAUUCAUUGCACAACAACAAUGCAACCCUCAAGUCUGCUUUCUUAGAUAAAAUACCCGGCAGCUGUGGCAUGUGCGCCAGGGUGUGUUGUGGGGGAACUAUUCCUAUAGAUGGAGCUAAGUUCAUUGGUAAGUACUAUCGAUAAUAAUUUUAAUGGUAAUCGUUCUUAAAGACAUUGUGAUGAAAAAAUAUAGUUUGCGUAUGAGUUGAUUGUUUGCUGACUGACUGACUGA